GACGAACGCUGGCGGCGUGCUUAACACAUGCAAGUCGAACGGAAAGGCCCUGCUUUUGUGGGGUGCUCGAGUGGCGAACGGGUGAGUAACACGUGAGUAACCUGCCCUUGACUUUGGGAUAACUUCAGGAAACUGGGGCUAAUACAGGAUAGGAGCUCCUGCUGCAUGGUGGGGGUUGGAAAGUUUCGGCGGUUGGGGAUGGACUCGCGGCUUAUCAGCUUGUUGGUGGGGGAGUGGCAUACCAAGGGUGUGACGGGUAGCCGGCCUGAGAGGGGGACCGGGCACCUUGGUACUGAGAGACGGACCAGAGUCCUACAGGAGGCAGCAGGGGGGAGUAUUGCACAAUGAGCGGACGCCUGAUGCAGAAGCGCCGCGUGCGUGAAGACGGCCUUCGGGUUGUGAACCGCUUUCGCCUGAGACGAAGCUUGAGUGACGGUAAUGAGUAAAGAAGCACCGGCUAACUACGUG
rnacentral:rRNA from 1 species